UGAGGAAUCUCAAACAUACACACACCCCUGCUUCCAGAAACACAAAAGGAGCUGACUCAAAAGGGAGUGUCUGGUGCAGGCAUGCAGGGAGGAAGAAUGACUCUGAGCUUGACCAUUCAACUUUGAAACUUUAACAUCAAUGGAUCAGCACACACUGGUGUACGGUCUGCUAUGCAUGCAGCCCUGUGCUAGGCAAAAGAAGUAUCAGACCAGGAACUGACAGCCUCACUGCAACAGGAAGAGAGGCUUCACACAAUAAGCGUUUCAUUCAACCCGGCUGGACCUGUGCUUAUUGAGUUGAACAUCACUGAGCACAAAAUGCAAGCCAGACACCAUAAGAGCUGUAAGGAUGAUAAAGAUGUCUUUCUACCCUCGAGAGCUCUAAGUGUGGUCAGGAGAGAAACACAUGCAAAGAUUAUGCUGGCUGGAAGGAAAUGCUGGAAUGAAGGUGGAAGGUACAUCCAGAAUGUUCUGGGGGUGAGGAAUAGCGAAUGAUGGGUUCUGACUUAGAACAUGAAGGGAAGGUAUUAAGAAAGAGGUGAUAUUAAGCAUUUAUUGAGCAUCUCUAGUUUUUUUGUGUAUGUGACCUCGUUUGGAAAUACAGUAUCUCUUCUUGAUGCUGGCA